rnacentral:rRNA from 1 species
UACGUAGGGGGCAAGCGUUGUCCGGAUUUAUUGGGCGUAAAGAGCGUGUAGGCGGCCUUACAGGUCAGCUGUGAAAACUCGAGGCUCAACCUCGAGACGUCGGUUGAAACCGUAUGGCUAGAGUCCGGAAGAGGAGAGUCGGAAUUCCCGGUGUAGCGGUGAAAUGCGCAGAUAUCGGGAAGAACACCCGUGGCGAAGGCGGCUCUCUGGGACGGUACUGACGCUGAGACGCGAAAGCGUGGGGAGCGAACAGG